rnacentral:rRNA from 1 species
AUUGAACGCUGGCAGCAUGCCUUACACAUGCAAGUCGAACGGUAACAGGUCUUCGGAUGCUGACGAGUGGCGAACGGGUGAGUAAUACAUCGGAACGUGCCUAGUAGUGGGGGAUAACUACUCGAAAGAGUGGCUAAUACCGCAUGAGAUCUACGGAUGAAAGCAGGGGAUCGCAAGACCUUGUGCUACUAGAGCGGCCGAUGGCAGAUUAGGUAGUUGGUGGGAUAAAAGCUUACCAAGCCGACGAUCUGUAGCUGGUCUGAGAGGACGAUCAGCCACACUGGGACUGGGACACGGCCCAGACUCCUACGAGAGGCAGCAGUGGGGAAUUUUGGACAAUGGGCGAAAGCCUGAUCCAGCAAUGCCGCGUGCAGGAUGAAGGCCUUCGGGUUGUAAACUGCUUUUGUACGGAACGAAAAGCCCCGGGUUAAUACCCUGGGGUCAUGACGGUACCGUAAGAAUAAGCACCGGCUAACUACGUGCCAGCAGCCGCCGCCG